rnacentral:rRNA from 1 species
UACAGAGGUCUCAAGCGUUGUUCGGAUUCAUUGGGCGUAAAGGGUGCGUAGGUGGCGCUGUAAGUCGGGUGUGAAAUUUCGGAGCUUAACUCCGAAACUGCAUUCGAUACUGCGGUGCUUGAGGACUGGAGAGGAGAGUGGAAUUCCUGGUGUAGCGGUGAAAUGCGCAGAUAUCAGGAAGAACACCCGUGGCUAAGGCGGCUCUCUAGUACGGUACUGACGCUGAGACGCGAAAGCGUGGGGAGCGAACAGG